CGGAGUGUAGCGCAGCCUGGUAGCGCACCACGUUCGGGACGUGGGGGUCGCAGGUUCAAAUCCUGCCACUCCGA
rnacentral:tRNA from 10 species